rnacentral:rRNA from 1 species
AUUGAACGCUGGCGGCAUGCCUUACACAUGCAAGUCGAACGGCAGCACGGGUGCUUGCACCUGGUGGCGAGUGGCGAACGGGUGAGUAAUACAUCGGAACGUGCCCAGUCGUGGGGGAUAACGUAGCGAAAGCUACGCUAAUACCGCAUACGAUCUAAGGAUGAAAGCGGGGGAUCGCAAGACCUCGCGCGAUUGGAGCGGCCGAUGGCAGAUUAGGUAGUUGGUGGGGUAAAGGCUCACCAAGCCGACGAUCUGUAGCUGGUCUGAGAGGACGACCAGCCACACUGGGACUGAGACACGGCCCAGACUCCUACGGGAGGCAGCAGUGGGGAAUUUUGGACAAUGGGCGCAAGCCUGAUCCAGCCAUUCCGCGUGCAGGAUGAAGGCCCUCGGGUUGUAAACUGCUUUUGUACGGAACGAAAAGGCUCUGGUUAAUACCUGGGGCUCAUGACGGUACCGUAAGAAUAAGCACCGGCUAACUACGUGCCAGCCGCCGCAGUAA